GUACUUGCUUCGGCAGUACAAAUACUAAAAUUGGAACGAUACAGAGAAGAUUAGCAUGCAUCUUUGGGUUUCCACGGGGGCUGGGUGAAGUGGAUAUUUUCCUU